rnacentral:miRNA from 1 species
AGUCAGCCUGUCCUUUGAAACUUUGAUGCCAGGCAUUGACUUCUCUCUAGCUAUGAAAUGCCUAGAUGGUAUCUUCUAAUAUGUGGCUAUUUUAUCUAUA